GAUGAACGCUGGCGGCGUGCCUAAUACAUGCAAGUCGAGCGAACAGACGAGGAGCUUACUCCUCUGACGUUAGCGGCGGACGGGUGAGUAACACGUGGAUAACCUACCUAUAAGACUGGGAUAACUUCGGGAAACCGGAGCUAAUACCGGAUAAUAUGUUGAACCGCAUGGUUCAACAGUGAAAGACGGUCUUGCUGUCACUUAUAGAUGGAUCCGCGCCGCAUUAGCUAGUUGGUAAGGUAACGGCUUACCAAGGCAACGAUGCGUAGCCGACCUGAGAGGGUGAUCGGCCACACUGGAACUGAGACACGGUCCAGACUCCUACGGGAGGCAGCAGUAGGGAAUCUUCCGCAAUGGGCGAAAGCCUGACGGAGCAACGCCGCGUGAGUGAUGAAGGUCUUCGGAUCGUAAAACUCUGUUAUUAGGGAAGAACAAAUGUGUAAGUAACUAUGCACGUCUUGACGGUACCUAAUCAGAAAGCCACGGCUAACUACGUG
rnacentral:rRNA from 1 species